rnacentral:misc_RNA from 1 species
GUUCAAGCUGCUGGUCAUCACAAGUCUCAAGCACCUUCUGAACAACGUAGUUUGCAAACUGAUCUUUCAUCAUAACCUGAAGGGGCUCAUUUUCAUCCGUUGUACCGAGCAUCUCAUUCACCAAAGCCUGGCGUUCAGAAGAAGUUCCAAAAGUUAGACAUUUCUCUAUGACAUUGGAGGCGAACUUCUGUUGACUCAUUUGAACUAUCUGCCCAGUCAGUUUCUUUAUAAUAGCAGAACGUUCA